rnacentral:rRNA from 1 species
AAAUAACAAUACAGGGCAAUUGUCUUGUAAUUGGAAUGAUGGUGACGUAAAAUCUCACCAGAGUAACAAUUGGAGGGCAAGUCUGGUGCCAGCAGCCGCGGUAAUUCCAGCUCCAAUAGCGUAUAUUAAACUUGUUGCAGUUAAAAAGCUCGUAGUUGAAUUUCUGCGUUGCCCGACUCGGCUACUUGCCUUGUCUGGUUUCGCUUUUGGGGUUUUCCCCUUUUUACUUUGAGAAAAUUAGAGUGUUUCAAGCAGACUUGUGUCUUGAAUACUUCAGCAUGGAAUAAUAAAGUAGGACUUUGGUUCUAUUUUGUUGGUUUGUGAACCUUAGUAAUGGUUAAUAGGAACGGUUGGGGGCA